rnacentral:rRNA from 1 species
UACGGAGGAUGCGAGCGUUAUCCGGAUUUAUUGGGUUUAAAGGGUGCGUAGGUUGUUUUUUAAGUCAGCGGUGAAAGUUUGUGGCUCAACCAUAAAAUUGCCGUUGAAACUGAUGAUCUUGAGUGGGCGAGAAGUAUGCGGAAUGCGUGGUGUAGCGGUGAAAUGCAAAGAUAUCACGCAGAACUCCGAUUGCGAAGGCAGCAUACCGGCGCCCGACUGACGCUGAAGCACGAAAGCGUGGGUAUCGAACAGG